UGUAGUGCAAAAACUCUUGCCAGACUUCUUGAUUGGAUGACCACACUCGUUUGCAAAGUCAAAGCCAAACAUAGAAGAAUGAGACUGGAUGGGUGGCGGUACUCAGGGCUUGAAUGAGAAUAGAGUAACCUAAUUCAUCGUGUCAACAAACACUAUAAGAAAAGUAUAGCUUUUGAGAUGAUUCAUCUGAGACGGCUAAAAAACAGUCUCAAAAAUCCAUUUUUGCCAACGGCAUUGAGAUGGCAUGAAGAUGGCGCUCUCCUGUGAUGGUCAAUUGAGACGGCCUAGAGACAGUGAUUAAUUUUUUUAAUAUUAAUUGAGUACUAGAAACGAGACAGACCGGAGACGACUGUGCUUUCAAAGAUGGCAUAGCGAUGGGGGAUUUAAAAAAUAAAUAAACUUUUAAAGAUGGUGCGGCAAUGGCUUAGUAAAAAAUUAAUUUAUGCUCUUCUGCAAUUGCUGUUUCUGUCGUCGUUUCUCCUCUACAUUGGUGGCCCCAUGACUGUUAAAUUAAAAAUUAAUUAAUAUCUUUUAGAGAUGGCUUACCAUCCCUAAUAGAAAAUCAGUAGCGGCAGCUUGAGCCAUCUCCAAUAGCUAUCUCAAAUAACCAAC
rnacentral:lncRNA from 1 species